rnacentral:rRNA from 1 species
CACGAAAACUUGAGGUGUGAACGGGAUUAGAUACCCCAUUAGUUCACGUAAUAAAUUAUGGCUUAUUGUGGUUUGAGAUUGUAUUUAACAAUUGAAGGAUGUAAACCUAAGAAGUAUGCUUUCAUAAGUGAAACUUAAAUGUUUUGGUGGUGAUUUAGAACAAUGGUGGAACAUAUGAUUUAAUUCGAUGUUAUGCGAUAAAGCUUAUCAAUUUUUGUUUUCUUUCCAUACCUUUUAGAAGGUAGAACUCUAUUCUCGGUAGUGCAUGGCUGUUUUUGAAGGUAAUGUUUUGUAAUAUCUGGUUCAGUUCAGUAAUAAUCGACACACUAAUUGUAUAUAAAUUUUAUCUUUCUUUCACUUGGGGGACAGGCAUCUGUGAUUUUAUUUGUCAUUUGAUGUGCGCCAAUUUUAUGUUUUCUGCAUUUGGUACAGGCAUCUGUGAUUUUCAGAUUGAGUAACGUCGAGUCAUUAUGCUCUCAUUUUUGGAGAUAUUCAUGUGUUACAAAGAAAGUUAUAGGUUUCCUUUGAAAAUAGGAUUCUCAACAAUUAUCGUUCUAAUUGAAAAUUGAAAUGUUUUGAUGAAGGAGGAAUUAUUAGGAAUCAUUGGUUAGUUAUUCAAUGGUGGACAGGAUAUAAGUUUUGUACAUACCGCCCGUCAAGCAAAAAGCAGAGUUGAAUAUGAAAAUGGCAUAAAAUAAAAGCUAUUUUUUGUGCUUUCUAAUUUGUGUUAAGUCGAAAACAUGGUUGCCAAUAAGGAAUUAUUGGCAGGA